AUACGGAGGGUGCGAGCGUUAAUCGGAAUUACUGGGCGUAAAGCGUGUGUAGGCGGUUUGCUAAGUCAGAUGUGAAAGCCCCGGGCUUAACCUGGGAACUGCAUUUGAUACUGGCAGACUAGAGUAUGAUAGAGGGGGGUAGAAUUCCUGGUGUAGCGGUGAAAUGCGUAGAUAUCAGGAGGAAUACCAGUGGCGAAGGCGGCCCCCUGGAUCAAUACUGACGCUGAGGUACGAAAGCGUGGGGAGCGAACAGGAUUAGAAACCCUUGUAGUCC
rnacentral:rRNA from 1 species